AGAGUUUGAUCCUGGCUCAGAAUGAACGCUGGCGGCAUGCCUAACACAUGCAAGUCGAACGAAGGCUUCGGCCUUAGUGGCGCACGGGUGCGUAACGCGUGGGAAUCUGCCCCUUGGUUCGGAAUAACAGUUGGAAACGACUGCUAAUACCGGAUGAUGACGUAAGUCCAAAGAUUUAUCGCCGAGGGAUGAGCCCGCGUAGGAUUAGGUAGUUGGUGUGGUAAAGGCGCACCAAGCCGACGAUCCUUAGCUGGUCUGAGAGGAUGAUCAGCCACACUGGGACUGAGACACGGCCCAGACUCCUACGGGAGGCAGCAGUGGGGAAUAUUGGACAAUGGGCGAAAGCCUGAUCCAGCAAUGCCGCGUGAGUGAUGAAGGCCUUAGGGUUGUAAAGCUCUUUUACCCGGGAUGAUAAUGACA
rnacentral:rRNA from 1 species